AGAGUUUGAUCCUGGCUCAGAUUGAACGCUAGCGGGAUGCUUUACACAUGCAAGUCGGACGGCAGCACGAAGAGCUUGCUCUUUGGUGGCGAGUGGCGAACGGGUGAGUAAUGUAUCGGAACGUGCCCAGUAGCGGGGGAUAACUACGCGAAAGCGUGGCUAAUACCGCAUACGCCCUACGGGGGAAAGGGGGGGAUCGCAAGACCUCUCACUAUUGGAGCGGCCGAUAUCGGAUUAGCUGGUUGGUGGGGUAAAGGCCUACCAAGGCGACGAUCCGUAGCUGGUUUGGGAGGACGACCAGCCACACUGGGACUGAGACACGGCCCAGACUCCUACGGGAGGCAGCAGUGGGGAAUUUUGGACAAUGGGGGCAACCCUGAUCCAGCCAUCCCGCGUGUGCGAUGAAGGCCUUCGGGUUGUAAAGCACUUUUGGCAGGGAAGAAACAGCCUGGGAUAAUACCU
rnacentral:rRNA from 1 species